rfam:Picea glauca, whole genome shotgun sequence.
AUGUACAUGCAUACGACAUAGUGUUAAUGCAUCGGAUCCCAUUAGAACUACAUAGUUAAGCGUGCUCGGGCUAGAGUAGUAAUGGGAUGGGUGAUCACCCAUGAAGUCCUAGUAUUUUACAUG